rnacentral:misc_RNA from 1 species
GAUGAAGAACGUAGCGAAAUGCGAUAAGUAAUGUGAAUUGCAGAAUUCAGUGAAUCAUCGAAUCUUUGAACGCACAUUGCGCCCGCCAGUAUUCUGGCGGGCAUGCCUGUCCGAGCGUCAUUUCAACCCUCGAACCCCUCCGGGGGGUCGGCGUUGGGGACCUCGGGAGCCCCUAAGACGGGAUCCCGGCCCCGAAAUACAGUGGCGGUCUCGCCGCAGCCUCUCCUGCGCAGUAGUUUGCACAACUCGCACCGGGAGCGCGGCGCGUCCACGUCCGUAAAACACCCAACUUCUGAAAUGUUGACCUCGGAUCAGGUAGGAAUACCCGCUGAACUUAAGCAUAUCAAUAGCGGAGGA